rnacentral:rRNA from 1 species
UACGGAGGAUGCGAGCGUUAUCCGGAUUUAUUGGGUUUAAAGGGUGCGUAGGCGGCUUUUUAAGUCAGCGGUGAAAUUUUGCAGCUUAACUGUAACAGUGCCGUUGAUACUGGGGAGCUAGGAUUUGGUUGCUGUGGGUGGAAUGUGUGGUGUAGCGGUGAAAUGCUUAGAGAUUAGGAAGAACACCAGUAGCGAAGGCGGCCAGCUGGGAUACACCUGACGCUGAGAUGCGAAGGCGUGGGGAGCGAACGGGAUUAGAUACCCCGGUAGUCCCU